GGUAGAUCAAACUUUCCACACAGUGAAUAAAAGGGAAGUGUUCAUUCAAAUUUGGCCAGACAUCAAGAGCACAAGCCUCUACAGUGUCCAGAAAACAUUCAGCUGGACCAUGCUGGCAUUUGAAGGUGUUAUUGGGUAGAAUUUUAGUAUUUCCCCAUGGAACAAGUUUAAGAUCAACAAAAUCAAUUAUCCCAUUUCUGAAAAUCUUAG
rnacentral:misc_RNA from 1 species